AGACUAACAGCUGCACAGGUGUUGAAACAUCCCUGGAUCGUUCACAAAGACCAGCUCCCCAAAUACCAGCUGAACAGACAUGACGCCCCCCAUCUGGUUAAGGGGGCCAUGGCUGCUACAUACUCUGCCUUGAAUAGGAACGUUCCUCCCAUGCUGGAGCCCGUGGGCUGUUCUAUUCUUGCUCAGCGCAGAGGAGUGAAAAAACUGACUUCUACUGCUUUAUGAGCAAACACCUUCCACUUCCAACCCCGUGACCUCUAGCCUGGUUUGAGCACAGCCUGAACUCGGCCUCAUCAAGGCCUUAGAGCCAAGUGUAGAUUCUGAGGACCCCUGGUGGACAAUCAAAAUCUUCCUUCACUGGUUACCACGAGGGCCAAUAAAAACAGUUCGACCUGUACAAUCACGCAAACCAAUGAAGAAUCUGUGGACUGUUUCUGAGGAGCAAAUUAUCUGAGCGUAUGAAUAUAAACAUACUGUAUCUCAGUCAUUAUAAAAAGCUAAGAUGUUAGUGUAUUCAGGGAGGAUGUGGAUUUUAGAGGAUGACAACAAAUUCCUGCACCAAAGUGUGCGCACAGUUGCGAAAAGCUCCAGUUGUAUGGGGAUGUUAUAUAUGGGAUACUUCCCUGUCAGGUAGACACUUAAUAUUCAAAUUGUAUCCUGUUCUGGCCUAUUAUUUUGCAUCAUUAACGCCACAUAGCAUACUGAAGUCCCACCAAACCAUAACUAUGGUGUAUCCCAACAUACCUUGUUCUCCAGUCAUCUUUGAACAGCGAACUAGGAGAAACGCCCUCAGCAGAUUACAAGACGAGUCCAAAAGUUUAUAUGACAGCUGCUGGCGUUUUUACAAAACAACAGUGUGAACGAGGUCCAAAGCACAAAAAUGCAGUGGAGGCCUACAUGUAAACGGCAGAGAAUGUCAAAUAGAGAACUCAGGUGAAACGCAAUACAUUAUACAAAAAAAAAUAAGCUGGGAUGGAAAUGUAUACGGCUGCAUCGCCUCACCUAAAACCUGCUGACCUGUUUAUUUGUUUGUAUGUAGGAAAGUACAGAAUUGCUCAGAGAUAUAUGUAGUGACUUUUUAAGUGACUACAUACAGCCUUGACAUAUUUUUAUAAAUGUGCAUGGGCAAGAUGCUAUAUUAGCUAAUAGCUCUGUGGAAGUUAGCAUGACUGAGGAUGUUUUCCCCCUU